rnacentral:sRNA from 1 species
GAGCCGGUAUAGCCCAUCAUCCGGGCCGUGGCCGGCUUGAUCUGCAUCAGACCGACCUCGCCGGCGCUUCC